AUAUUUUCUGAGAAAAUCUUGCCAAACGAGAAAAAAAUGGAGUUGUGCCCUUUAAUUAAAAACAUCCUUCUUUUGGAUUCCGAAGGAAAACGAGUAGAUGUGAAGUAUUACUCAGAUGACUGGCCGACGAAUUCCGCUAAGGAAGCUUUUGCUUGUUUCUCUGCACCUUGUUUUAUCUGUUAAUGCUUCCCUACUUUUUAUUGAUCUGAGUGUAUAAUGUAAUCAAAUAGAUUUGUAUGGAAGAUAUGUCCAAUUGUGAGUUUAAUCGAUUCAUUGGAUUUGAGAAUUUAGAAGGUUGUUUGCUUGUGGAUAAAAGGGUUUAUCUAAGGACAUAGUAUUUGAGCUUUGCUCUAUGCUGGUGAAUGAGGGGGAAAAAUCCUGGAUUGGUAUUGGUUUAAGUACUGGUACUGGUUCUUGCUACAAUUUUAACAUGGUGCUUUUAUUUUUUCAUUUUUAUGUUUUUGUUUACAGCUGAGAUAACGAUGUUUGACGACUAUGUUGUCGUCUACAAGUUUGUUCAAGACCUUCACUUUUUUGUUACCGGAGGAGAAAAUGAAAAUGAGAUAAUCUUGGCCUCCAGGGUUUUUUUUGAUGCAGUUGGACUUAUCCUCAGAGGUGCUGGAAAACUUAGAUCUCAUUUUCUUGUGCCUCGAUGAGAUGUUGAUGGCGGUAU